rnacentral:rRNA from 1 species
AACGAACGCUGGCGGCAUGCCUAACACAUGCAAGUCGAACGAGACCUUCGGGUCUAGUGGCGCACGGGUGCGUAACGCGUGGGAACCUGCCCUUAGGUUCGGAAUAACUCCCCGAAAGGGGUGCUAAUACCGGAUAAUGUCUUCGGACCAAAGAUUUAUCGCCUUUGGAUGGGCCCGCGUUGGAUUAGCUAGUUGGUAGGGUAAAAGCCUACCAAGGCGACGAUCCAUAGAUGGUAAGAGAGGAUGAUCAGCCACACUGGGACUGAGACACGGCCCAGAAUACUACGGGAGGAAGCAGAGGGGAAUAUUGGACAAUGGGCGAAAGGCUGAACAAGCAAUGCCGCGUGAGUGAUGAAGGCAUUAGGGUUGUAAAGCUCUUUUACCCGGGAUGAUAAUGACAGUACCGGGAGAAUAAGCUCCGGCUAACUCCGUG